CCCUUAGAUGUCCGGGGCUGCACGCGCGCUACACUGAAGGAAUCAGCGUGCUAAAACCAUUGUCGAAAGGCAUUGGUAAACCCAUUAAAAUCCUACGUGAUUGGGAUCGGGAAUUGCAAUUAUUUCCCUUGAACGAGGAAUUCCCAGUAAGUGUGGGUCAUAAGCUCGCGUUGAUUACGUCCCUGCCCUUUGUACACACCGCCCGUCGCCGCCCGGGACUGAGCCGUUUCGAGAAAAGCGGGGACUGCUGCUGUCGGGGCUUUCGGGCCUUGGCUUCGGUGGAAACCGCUUUAAUCGCAGUGGCUUGAACCGGGCAAAANUCGUANCA
rnacentral:rRNA from 1 species